rnacentral:rRNA from 1 species
AUGCUCCACAUCGAAGUUCCAUCUUACAAUAUGAGGAAACACACUCUCGCCCUCUUCCUCCUGCUCCUGCUCCUCACCUUUGCCUCCCAUGGGGCAUGGUGUGCAGCAGCAGCGCGAAGCGCCAUGGCUGAGGAUGCGGCUCAUCAUCAUCUGAGGCCUCAUCACCAUGGCAAGAGGCUCCUGGAGAUACAGACUCCCAGGAAGGUCGGGCACGCGACAGGAGGAUCUGGAGGGGGCAGCAGCGGCGGCGGCAGGAGCGGUGGCGGCGGCACGGACACAAGGCCACACAACAGCAAGAAUGGCGGUGCCAUGGCGCUGCCAGCUCCAGCGACCUCCGUCCUGGCGCUCGUUUUCACCACUACCGUUCUUCUCUCGGCGCUCAGCUUCUGA